rnacentral:rRNA from 1 species
AGAAUCAACGCUGGCGGCGUGCCUAACACAUGCAAGUCGAACGAGAAAGUGGAGCAAUCCAUGAGUAAAGUGGCGCACGGGUGAGUAACACGUGACUAACCUACCCUUGAGUGGGGGAUAACCUAGAGAAAUCUGGGCUAAUACCGCAUAAUACCUUCGGGUCAAAGGAGCAAUUCGCUUCAGGAGGGGGUCGCGGCAGAUUAGAUAGUUGGCGGGGUAAUGGCCCACCAAGUCAGUGAUCUGUA